rnacentral:rRNA from 1 species
GACGAACGCUGGCGGCGUGCUUAACACAUGCAAGUCGAACGGAAAGGCCCUGCUUUUGUGGGGUGCUCGAGUGGCGAACGGGUGAGUAACACGUGAGUAACCUGCCCUUGACUUUGGGAUAACUUCAGGAAACUGGGGCUAAUACCGGAUAGGAGCUCCUGCUGCAUGGUGGGGGUUGGAAAGUUUCGGCGGUUGGGGAUGGACUCGCGGCUUAUCAGCUUGUUGGUGGGGUAGUGGCUUACCAAGGCUUUGACGGGUAGCCGGCCUGAGAGGGUGACCGGCCACAUUGGGACUGAGAUACGGCCCAGACUCCUACGGGAGGCAGCAGUGGGGAAUAUUGCACAAUGGGCGGAAGCCUGAUGCAGCAACGCCGCGUGCGGGAUGACGGCCUUCGGGUUGUAAACCGCUUUCGCCUGUGACGAAGCGUGAGUGACGGUAAUGGGUAAAGAAGCGCCGGCUAACUACGUGCCAGCAGCCGCGGUGAUACGUAGGGUGCGAGCGUUGUCCGGAUUUAUUGGGCGUAAAGGGCUCGUAGGUGGUUGAUCGCGUCGGAAGUGUAAUCUUGGGGCUUAACCCUGAGCGUGCUUUCGAUACGGGUUGACUUGAGGAAGGUAGGGGAGAAUGGAAUUCCUGGUGGAGCGGUGGAAUGCGCAGAUAUCAGGAGGAACACCAGUGGCGAAGGCGGUUCUCUGGGCCUUUCCUGACGCUGAGGAGCGAAAGCGUGGGGAGCGAACAGGCUUAGAUACCCUGGUAGUCCACGCUGUAAACGGUGGGUACUAGGUGUGGGGUCCAUUCCACGGGUUCCGUGCCGUAGCUAACGCUUUAAGUACCCCGCCUGGGGAGUACGGCCGCAAGGCUAAAACUCAAAGGAAUUGACGGGGCCCCGCACAAGCGGCGGAGCAUGCGGAUUAAUUCGAUGCAACGCGUAGAACCUUACCUGGGUUUGACAUGGAUCGGGAGCGCUCAGAGAUGGGUGUGCCUCUUUUGGGGUCGGUUCACAGGUGGUGCAUGGCUGUCGUCAGCUCGUGUCGUGAGAUGUUGGGUUAAGUCCCGCAACGAGCGCAACCCUUGUUCACUGUUGCCAGCACGUUAUGGUGGGGACUCAGUGGAGACCGCCGGGGUCAACUCGGAGGAAGGUGGGGAUGACGUCAAGUCAUCAUGCCCCUUAUGUCCAGGGCUUCACGCAUGCUACAAUGGCUGGUACAGAGAGUGGCGAGCCUGUGAGGGUGAGCGAAUCUCGGAAAGCCGGUCUCAGUUCGGAUUGGGGUCUGCAACUCGACCUCAUGAAGUCGGAGUCGCUAGUAAUCGCAGAUCAGCAACGCUGCGGUGAAUACGUUCCCGGG